GAGAUAUGUGUUUAGUAACAUGGAAUGUUAGAGGGCUCGAUUCGGGUGCCAAAAUAGAAGCUGUUAAUAGACUGGUGAAAAUGCAUAGAAUUAAUGUUUGUUUUCUUCAAGAAACUAAGCUAGAAUUUGUGUCUGUUGAUUUAGUUAGAAAAAUUUAGGGGAAUGAAAAUUUCAAUUUUAUUUUUGUUGCUGCAAUUGAUAGAUCUGGAGGGCUGUUAUCGAUAUGGGAGAAGGGGAUUUUUCGGUCAUAGUUGAGCAUUGUGGGAAGAGAUUAAUUGUAGUUGAAGG
rnacentral:lncRNA from 1 species